CAACAGCACUGCUGCAGCAGGUGUGAAUGGGUGUGUGUGUCAGGACGUAUAAGCAAAGUGACACAUUAAACCCCACAUGGGGUGUCAGAGAGAUGUUUGGUGGUAGAAGUUGAAAGGGCUGGUUAGGGAGAGCACAAUGCCCAACAACGCCUGUAUAUGGAUUGAGACAGGAAGCAGAGGAGGAGCAAGAAGACAUGAAUGGCCUCUGAUGUCAGGCCACUGGGAAAAGAUGAACAAGUACAAAUAAAAUGAUGAAUACCUGGGGUUAGGACAGACAUUUGUAAUACAUGUAUAUACACAAUAAGUUGAUAAAUAAACUGGAUUUCUUCAUUUCUAAAUUUUGAAAAAAAAAAAAAAAAAAAAAAAAUAUAUAUAUAUAUAUAUAUAUAUAUAUACAACACGCUGCUGCUGCUUCUGCCAUUCCAAUCAAAACACUCAUGUUGCAUUUGUAGGUGGUGAUUAUGUAAGUGUUUGUAACACUCAACGUUGCCAAAACUCAGAAGAUCCUGAGUGUUGCCAUAGAAGUGCAAAACGUUCCCUGAAAUGGUUGUUGCUCAGAAAGCUAUAGUUCUUUUGAGUCAUUUACAUCUUUAGUAUAAUGUUUGAAGCUUAACUCAAGCAGAAUCAGAACAAAAUGAGACAGAAUUUUAAAAAAAUGGCUCUGGUGUUCUGGGAGGCUCCUGAUAACAAAAAAUCAAAAGUCUCUAAAAGAAGCAAUGAAUGAAUAGAUUAUGGCCUAAGAUAAGACAAGUUAAACUUUUAAAAACCUUUAAAGCUCUGUGCAAAACCCUUGUUUUAUGGAAGACUGGCAGGAAGAAAGUUGUUGUUCUUAGAGAACCAAAAGAAGUCAAAUUCAAAGUUUCCAGAGACCGUGUAAAUGGUGCAGAAAAUCUGGAUGAAUGUGCUCUGGUCAGUAAAACCAACAAACAAAAUUUUUGACUUUCAUGUAAACUACUUUCUGCUUGGGAGCCUCAAGCAAACAAUUAUUUGGCUGUAGACAAAAUUAGAUUUGGGUGAAGACAAAACCUUAAACAUGCAGCCAGAGUGAGAAAGAAUAGUUUUAAAUCAAAGCAUAUUGACCAUCAAUAUGCUUUUGAUUGGAAGUUUUGUCAUCCAAUCUGACAAAACUUGACCUAUUUUGCAAAGAAUGUUGAAAAAAAAAAUCAGUCAGCAAUCAGGAUGCAUGAUUUUAGAAAAACAAAAAAUCUCAUUAUUGGAUAUUGCAAUGAUGAUUUUGUUUGUAAUCAACGUACAUUUUCAAUCAUCCUUUUCGUCUUUUCCACCACUCUCCCUGGGCUUUCUGAUCCUGAACACUAAGAUCUAUGUUAGUUGUGGGUAUACAGAACAGUGAAAAUUCAUCAUAGCAUUUAAAUAUGAUGUUUGAAAGUAGCGGUUUUAUUAUAUUGUUUCCAAAAUAUUGCAUCCAAGCAAUCUACUGCAGUUUGAUACUGUACACACUGCAAUAGAUUGUUUCUAUGAUUUCCAAAGAGAGUUGCAGGAAGGGAUUCCUGAAAAGCAUUGACUCAAGGAAAAUAGAUAUAAACUUCAGUAUAAAACCUACUAACUGAUGAGACAUGUUAACAUAUUUUAUAUGUGCAGUGACUUUUAAUAUCAUUUUGAAUUUGGUUUAAGUUGCAAGCGUUUCAUCUUUCUAGUGACACUAAUAAAAUCUGCAGAUUAAAGCCUUGUUGCUGAGCACCAAAGUUUAAAAUGCAUUACAGUAAAGUAUUUCCACAAAUACUUUAUUGUGGAAGCGAGACAUGAGGGGAGAGUGGAAAGGCCUUGUACAGCUGUGACCUCACUUUGCAGAACAUCUGCAAAAGUAAAAAACAAACUGGAGUGAGACAGAUGGGAUGGGCUGGCAGGCAGACAGACAGGCAACGAUACACGACAUCAAAAUAAAUCUAUAAAUCAGCUGCACAAAUGAACUGGAGCUGUACAAACCCACGCUGAAAAUUCGAACUGCUUCACUGCAGACUACACAAACAGGAGGAUCUGAGCCAAAAAGCACAUUCUUGUUCCACAUCCAGUGUUUGACUUGCAGCCAUCUGGACUUUAUUGUUGCGCUGGAGAUGGCAGCAGCAACCACACAUAUGAUGUUGUAUGGUAAAAAUUCAAAUGAGUUCACACAGAAGGACGCCAUGUCUUCUCUUCUUCCUGGUCUCGUUGAUUAUCUUCAUUCUUCUUUGCUUUUCUUCUUCGUCACAUCCAAAGAUGUCUGAAGUUGAAUGUCUUCUAAUGGGAAUGUAGGAAAAUGGAUUUCACAAGAAUGAAUUCAGUGUGAGAAGCUCGCCCACAUACACAGACGCAUAAAAUGGAAAAGAAAAAAAAAAUGCACACUUUGUCCCGGCUUGUAAAGUUGGUAUUUUUAGUGUUGGAACACCUAAAUUGUUGCUAACACAAUUUAGUUUGUGAGUUUGAAAAUAUCAUCUUAGAAGUCUAUGUAAGCGUAUUUGUCCCAAAUUUCCAAAUGCCAUGAAUUUCUAUUGUCUUUUACCUCUGUGUUCACACCAUAUAAGCUCGGGUUAAACAGCCUCUGUGUCCGGCUGCAGUCAGUACUUGGCAGAUGUGAGCUUCUUGGCAGAUGUGAACUUGAUUUGAUAUUUUUGGCUCUCCACCUCUGUUUCGCACUCAAAAUAACCCUCCCCGAUCCAGAUGUUCCAUGUUUAGCUCAGAGACUUAAAUUGGACAUAGUCCUCCCUUAGACGUCCUCACGACUGGAAAACACUGAGCACAAAGAGGGAGGGAAAAGGAGCUGGAGGAGAAUAAGGGGUGAUUUUCCUGCAAAUCCACUGAAUGAGUCAGUGACACCUCACAUUACGGUAAGCCACAUGUCUGUGAGGCUCCAGAGGGAAGAGGGGAGAGCGCAGAACGCAGUGGAGCAAGUGUCCAGGAGUUUGUGGUAACGGUUUGAGAUGAGUCAUCGCCGAGCCCAGCGCUCCAUGCAGCCACCUGUUUCCACUCUCUCGCACCGCUUCCAAUCAGCUUGUUUCUCUCUGUGUCUCAGCAGAGGAGCUGUGAUUUCCCAAAAGGUGAAUUAGAGUCCCAACUGAGGAAAAAUAAACCCCCAAAGAUCAGUGUUACAAUCCGUAACUUCUACAGAGUAAAGGGAGAUCCUGUGGGUCCAGUGGGUUUCAUGGUGAAGUCUCAUCGUGGGAGUUAUGGUAAAAUUGUCAGGUGCUCAAUAACAUGAAGCUCUUAAGAUAAUUAAGACUGAAACAAUGUUUAGCCUUGCAUCACUAAAGCUGUUCGUGUUUGUUUCUCUGCGGUAAGUCAAAUAACCCUGUCACCUAAAGCUGUGAAAGUCCAUAUGAUUAUGGGGCACAGGAACAUUUUCUACCCUCACUGUUUUUACCUGUUCUUAUUUAUUUUAAUAAAAUAAUUUGAAAAGUUAAUUUCCUAACUUUUUCUUAAUGUCUCUCCUACAUAAUUCUGCUAUUUAGCAAACAGGAAUGAUGUUGGUACUCCUAACGGACCUAAAAAUCUGAAGAUGUUUAGUCUAGAAGAAAAAUUCAGAUUCAGCUUAGUUUGUGCCCCCAACAGGCACUUCUUUACUUCUUUUUAAGAAGUAAAACAAAAAAAAGACAUAUAAAUAGGAGACAUACAUAAAAAUCUUAAAGGUGAGGGAUGAUAAAGUGUGAUGAAACAAUAUCAGUAGUGGUAAAAACAAGGAAGGGAAUGUGCAAUCCUCCAUUUCUGCCAACACCAAUUUCAACCAAUCAGAUACAACUCCUCCUAUCCUGUCCUGAAUUAAAAAAGGGAAACGGCUGUAGGGAUGACGGAGAGCUUGAACCUGUUAGUCUUCAUAUUAGGAAGUCUAAGCCGAGAUAAACUUGAAUUCAGAAUAUCAGGGAUGGGAGCGGUCAGGAAGAAUGACAUUAGUCUUCCUGAUAAUCUGCCUACUGAACAGCUCUGUAAGUGUGAACUGUUAAACUCUCUGAAUCUUAUUACUUGUCUUUAUCCAUCUGAUUAGUACAUUUGUUUGCCUGAUGCUAAGGUUGCCAAACCAGCAGAGUAGGAAAAAGGUCAACACAGAGUCAAUGUAGAGUAUGAUCUACGUACAUUGAUCAUAUCAAUCUGAAACUGAGAGUUUUCUCAGACGAGACAGUCGUUGCUGACAAGUAAAAUAUUAUUUAUUAUCCACACUAGUCCCAAGGUAAUAGUAAUUUUCAACAAUGUCUGCUCACCGGCCUUUGUUCACUCCAAACUCAACGUCCUGUCAACAAAUUUGCAAACUUGUGACCCUCAGUGUAGUGUAUAUAAAUAUGUGUACUCUCAUGCCAAGGCCUGACCCAGUUUCUGGGCCCUGCAGACUUCAGCUGACACUGCGUGACCCACAUAAGGAUACCGACACUUGUCAUCCCAAACUUACUGCCUUUCUUCCACCAUCCCACACACAGAAAACCACAAAUGGUCCGCACACAUGUGUGUCCAUGUGUGUGAUUAGCGAAUAAAGGAGCAAAACAUAGCAAAGAUAAAACCGCGGCCUUGUGUUUAGGCUAUAGACUGACCCAGAACAGGAUGGCCUUAUUCAUCAGAGAGGCUUAUCAGGCGGUGUUGGAGUGUGGGCGAGCACAAGAAGUAGGUAAAAUGGUUGAAGAGCAAAGCAUUUCCGGGUAAAUAUCAGCAUGCAAGCUCCACUAACAAUCCUAGAUGAAACACACUAAGGCUGACAGCAAAGCCUCUCUGUCAGCACAAUGCAGCAGAGAGCUGUAAACAGUACAGUGUGUAGGUGGCCUGUGAAUCCUACUUAUCUGGGAGUGAGGAGGCUGCAUCAGUGAUGGUUCUUCUGUUGAGGCUGUGCAGACCCAUAAAUGGCAGCAACUGAAGUAAAUCUAUGUGUAUAGCUCUACGGUUGAAGCUCGCUGUGACUGCUUUCACUAUACUCCAAGUCAAUACCUCUAAUGGCAACAAAGUCCACAUCCGUCAGAGUUCUUUUGUACUUUAAAAUACAUGACUUAUAAUAUCAUAAUGAAGAAAAGGCAGAGGAAAGUAGGAGUUUGAAUCCCCACUCUGUCUGUCUCAGUCAGUGUGUCCAAUUCAGGGCACCACCUCAUCGAAGAGGAAAAAAAGAGAAUCCAUCAUGACGAUCCUCAUCCAGCUGACCUAGGAUUACCGGCAGUCCUUGACAAGUUAAUGAACUUUUUCUCCAGUAAAAACUAAGCGGCAGGCAUUCAUUUAUCCUCAGCAUGUUUGCUAAACAUUUCAGCUUUGCUUUUAAAAAUUCAACAUCACAAUUUUUAAGUCUCCAGUAGUUCUUACAGCAUAAUCUAGUAUUCAGCCUAGAAACUGUGGCAUGUGUUUAACUAUGAUCAUUGUUGUUUAUUCAUUUAGAAAUUGAUUGAUGGAGUCCUUGGCGACUGCAUCUGAACACCUGCACUUCUGUUUAGCGAAGCUGUCACCCAUUUGGCUCCUGGAGAUUAACAUAGUGAGGAAAUUAUUAGGUUAUGAUAAACAGAAUGACAUAAAACUACUAAAGGUGGAGAAAAAGGUAGCCAAGAGCCUUCAAAACCAAUAAAAUGUUAAAUUAGAUUCAAAAGUUUAUGCUAGGACAAAAGGAAAAAGACAUAAUGACUAAAAUUAUGUCAC